rnacentral:tRNA from 1 species
GGAGAGGUGGCAGAGUGGUUGAACGCGCCUGACUCGAAAUCAGGUUUACCCGCAAGGGUAACGGGGGUUCGAAUCCCCCCCUCUCCGCCA